GUGUGCAAGAAUUUCUCCAUGCGGUCAGACAGACAGCUCCUCUCCCCUUUUUCUUCUCUUUUUUGCCUUGGAGAGCCUUUGCUUUUGCUGUUCUUCGUCAUGGAUGGUUUUGUUCGGAACAAAUUAACUGAAUGGGGUCUCAGUGAGUGGAUAGAAACAUUUCAAGCUCAACGCAUUGACAAGAAAAAUCUUUACUGUCUUGGUCAUCAAGAAAUCACUGACUUGAUCCCAAAACUGGGACC